rnacentral:rRNA from 1 species
CCUACGGGUGGCUGCAGUCGAGGAUCUUCGGCAAUGGGCGCAAGCCUGACCGAGCGACGCCGCGUGUGCGACGAAGGCCUUCGGGUUGUAAAGCACUGUCGAGGGGGACGAAGCCGAAAGGUUGACCGAUCCCUGGAGGAAGCACGGGCUAAGUUCGUGCCAGCAGCCGCGGUAAGACGAACCGUGCGAACGUUGUUCGGAAUCACUGGGCUUAAAGGGCGCGUAGGCGGUUUGCCUAGUCAGGGGUGAAAUCUUUCGGCUUAACCGGAAAAGUGCCCUUGAUACUGGCAGACUUGAGGGAGGUAGGGGCAGGUGGAACUUCCGGUGGAGCGGUGAAAUGCGUUGAUAUCGGAAGGAACGCCGGUGGCGAAAGCGACCUGCUGGAUCUCUACUGACGCUGAGGCGCGAAAGCCAGGGGAGCGAACGGGAUUAGAUACCCUGGUAGUC